CUUAAACUCAAUUUUCAGGAAGACGUUGAGACACUAAGGUCAAGCAAUGUUUUUGCAUCACUGAUACGGAAAAAGUAAACCCUCCUACUUUACAGUACAUCACCAAGAUAUGCAAGAACACAUAGCAGUCUUCGAGACUGCGUCAGCCUUAUCAAGCAAUGUGAUCAUUCCACCGAAUUGCAAGAGGCCAUUGUAUUCGUUUACUUUUAUACACAAGUGUGCAAAUUCGAAUGUCCCGGCAUUACCGUAUGUUUUAAUGAAGCAAGCAAAUUCCUUAAUUCUUCGUCUGGUAGUUCCGACUUUUCAACUGAUUUAUGAAGAAUUCUGGCAGCAUACAAAUGUUUUGAAC